GUGGGGAAUAUUGGACAAUGGGCGAAAGCCUGAUCCAGCCAUGCCGCGUGUGUGAAGAAGGUCUUCGGAUUGUAAAGCACUUUAAGUUGGGAGGAAGGGCAGUAAGUUAAUACCUUGCUGUUUUGACGUUACCAACAGAAUAAGCACCGGCUAACUUCGUGCCAGCAGCCGCGGUAAUACGUAGGGUGCGAGCGUUAAUCGGAAUUACUGGGCGUAAAGCGCGCGUAGGUGGUUUUGUAAGUUGGAGGUGAAAUCCCCGGGCUCAACCUGGGAACUGCCUCCAAAACUGCAUGACUAGAGUACGGUAGAGGGUAGUGGAAUUUCCUGUGUAGCGGUGAAAUGCGUAGAUAUAGGAAGGAACACCAGUGGCGAAGGCGACUACCUGGACUGAUACUGACACUGAGGUGCGAAAGCGUGGGGAGCAAACAGGAUUAGAAACCCGGGUAGUCC
rnacentral:rRNA from 1 species